rnacentral:rRNA from 1 species
UACGUAGGGUGCAGGCGUUAAUCGGAAUUACUGGGCGUAAAGCGUGCGCAGGCGGCUAUGCAAGACAGAUGUGAAAUCCCCGGGCUCAACCUGGGAACUGCAUUUGUGACUGCAUAGCUAGAGUACGGUAGAGGGGGAUGGAAUUCCGCGUGUAGCAGUGAAAUGCGUAGAUAUGCGGAGGAACACCGAUGGCGAAGGCAAUCCCCUGGACCUG